rnacentral:rRNA from 1 species
UACGUAGGGUGCAAGCGUUGUUCGGAAUUACUGGGCGUAAAGCGCACGUAGGCGGCUUUUUAAGUCAGGGGUGAAAUCCCGGGGCUCAACCCCGGAACUGCCCUUGAAACUGGAGAGCUAGAAUCUUGGAGAGGCGAGUGGAAUUCCGAGUGUAGAGGUGAAAUUCGUAGAUAUUCGGAAGAACACCAGUGGCGAAGGCGACUCGCUGGACAAGUAUUGACGCUGAGGUGCGAAAGCGUGGGGAGCAAACAGG